rnacentral:rRNA from 1 species
UUUGCUGACGAGUGGCGGACGGGUGAGUAAUGUCUGGGAAACUGCCUGAUGGAGGGGGAUAACUACUGGAAACGGUAGCUAAUACCGCAUAACGUCGCAAGACCAAAGAGGGGGACCUUCGGGCCUCUUGCCAUCGGAUGUGCCCAGUAUGGGAUUAGCUAGUAGGUGGGGUAACGGCUCACCUAGGCGACGAUCCCUAGCUGGUCUGAGAGGAUGACCAGCCACACUGGAACUGAGACACGGUCCAGACUCCUACGGGAGGCAGCAGUGGGGAAUAUUGCACAAUGGGCGCAAGCCUGAUGCAGCCAUGCCGCGUGUAUGAAGAAGGCCUUCGGGUUGUAAAGUACUUUCAGCGGGGAGGAAGGGAGUAAAGUUAAUACCUUUGCUCAUUGACGUUACCCGCAGAAGAAGCACCGGCUAACUCCGUGCCAGCAGCCGCGGUAAUACGGAGGGUGCAAGCGUUAAUCGGAAUUACUGGGCGUAAAGCGCACGCAGGCGGUUUGUUAAGUCAGAUGUGAAAUCCCCGGGCUCAACCUGGGAACUGCAUCUGAUACUGGCACAGCUUGAGUCUCGUAGAGGGGGGUAGAAUUCCAGGUGUAGCGGUGAAAUGCGUAGAGAUCUGGAGGAAUACCGGUGGCGAAGGCGGCCCCCUGGACGAAGACUGACGCUCAGGUGCGAAAGCGUGGGGAGCAAACAGGAUUAGAUACCUGGUAGUCCACGCCGUAAACGAUGUCGACUUGGAGGUUGUGCCCUUGAGGCGUGGCUUC